GACAACAACACCGGCAGAUAAUCUCUGUACCUCAGUGGCAAACACAGGCUUUAUACCGGAAGAGGUCGUGUAUGUACACUCAUGUGUCUGCACCAGGAACAGUGUCCGGAAGAGGAUCAUCGGAAAGGUCAAAGGUCGACUUGGCGAAACGGUGUGACGGUUGAAAUGAGGUAACAUCCAGAGAGAGCCAAUUCCCACGCUUCAAACUCAGUGACAGACGCUGCUCCGACAAAGCUCGUGUCAGGCGGCAGGGGAUUG